rnacentral:rRNA from 1 species
GAUUGACCUCGGAUCAGGUAGGGAUACCCGCUGAACUUAAGCAUAUCAAUAAGCGGA